rnacentral:rRNA from 1 species
AACGGCCGCGGUACCCUAACCGUGCGAAGGUAGCAUAAUCACUUGUUCUUUAAAUAGGGACUCGUAUCAACGGCAUCACGAGGGCUAUACUGUCUCCUUUCUCUAAUCAGUGAAACUGAUCUCCUCGUGAAGAAGCGAGGAUAGUUUUAUAAGACGAGAAGACCCCAUGGAGCUUUAAACCCAAUGUACAUCUCUACGCAUAUAAGCCCCAAUAGCCCAAGAAAAUUGUAUGUUGGUUUUGGGUUGGGGGGACCGCGGAGAAAAAAUUAACCUCCACGACAAACGGGCCUAUGCCCUUAUCCAUGAGCUACCACUCUAAGAAUCAAUAAACUGAUGUUCAGUGACCCAAUUUAUUGAUCAACGAACCAAGUUACCCUGGGGAUAACAGCGCAAUCUACUUCAAGAGCCCCUAUCGACAAGUAGGUUUACGACCUCGAUGUUGGAUCAGGGUAUCCUAGUGGUGCAGCCGCUACUAAAGGUUCGUUUGUUCAACGAUUAA